rnacentral:rRNA from 1 species
AACGAACGCUGGCGGCAUGCCUAACACAUGCAAGUCGAACGAAGCCUUCGGGCUUAGUGGCGCACGGGUGCGUAACGCGUGGGAAUCUGCCCUUGGGUUCGGAAUAACAGUUAGAAAUGACGGCUAAUACCGGAUGAUGUCUUCGGACCAAAGAUUUAUCGCCCAAGGAUGAGCCCGCGUAGGAUUAGGUAGUUGGUGGGGUAAUGGCCCACCAAGCCGACGAUCCUUAGCUGGUCUGAGAGGAUGAUCAGACACACUGGGACUGAGACACGGCCCAGACUCCUACGGGAGGCAGCAGUGGGGAAUAUUGGACAAUGGGCGAAAGCCUGAUCCAGCAAUGCCGCGUGAGUGAUGAAGGCCUUCGGGUUGUAAAGCUCUUUUACCAGGGAUGAUAAUGACAGUACCUGGAGACUAAGCUCCGGCUAACUCCGUGCCAGCCGCCGCGGUAA